rnacentral:lncRNA from 1 species
UGUAAAUUGGCAUGGAAAUUUAAAGCAGGUUCUUGUUGGUGCACAGCACAAAUUAGUUAUAUAUGGGGAUGGUAGUUUUUUCAUCUUCAGUUGUCUCUGAUGCAGCUUAUACGAAAUAAUUGUUGUUCUGUUAACUGAAUACCACUCUGUAAUUGCAAAAAAAAAAAAAAAGUUGCAGCUGUUUUGUUGACAUUCUGAAUGCUUCUAAGUAAAUACAAUUUUUUUUAUUAG